GAGUAACACGUGAGUAACCUGCCCUUGACUCUGGGAUAAGCCUGGGAAACUGGGUCUAAUACCGGAUACGACCGCUCACCGCAUGGUGUGGUGGUGGAAAGCUUUUGCGGUUUUGGAUGGACUCGCGGCCUAUCAGCUUGUUGGUGGGGUAAUGGCCUACCAAGGCGACGACGGGUAGCCGGCCUGAGAGGGUGACCGGCCACACUGGGACUGAGACACGGCCCAGACUCCUACGGGAGGCAGCAGUGGGGAAUAUUGCACAAUGGGCGCAAGCCUGAUGCAGCGACGCGCGUGAGGGAUUGACGGCCUUCGGGUUGUAAACCUCUUUCAGUAGGGAAGAAGCGAAAGUGACGGUACCUGCAGAAGAAGCGCCGGCUAACUACGUGCCAGCAGCCGCGGUAAUACGUAGGGCGCAAGCGUUAUCCGGAAUUAUUGGGCGUAAAGAGCUCGUAGGCGGUUUGUCGCGUCUGCUGUGAAAGACCGGGGCUCAACUCCGGUUCUGCAGUGGGUACGGGCAGACUAGAGUGAUGUAGGGGAGACUGGAAUUCCUGGUGUAGCGGUGAAAUGCGCAGAUAUCAGGAGGAACACCGAUGGCGAAGGCAGGUCUCUGGGCAUUAACUGACGCUGAGGAGCGAAAGCAUGGGGAGCGAACAGGAUUAGAUACCCUGGUAGUCCAUGCCGUAAACGUUGGGCACUAGGUGUGGGGGACAUUCCACGUUUUCCGCGCCGUAGCUAACGCAUUAAGUGCCCCGCCUGGGGAGUACGGCCGCAAGGCUAAAACUCAAAGGAAUUGACGGGGGCCCGCACAAGCGGCGGAGCAUGCGGAUUAAUUCGAUGCAACGCGAAGAACCUUACCAAGGCUUGACAUGAACCGGUAACGCCUGGAAACAGGUGCCCCGCUUGCGGUCGGUUUACAGGUGGUGCAUGGUUGUCGUCAGCUCGUGUCGUGAGAUGUUGGGUUAAGUCCCGCAACGAGCGCAACCCUCGUUCUAUGUUGCCAGCGCGUGAUGGCGGGGACUCAUAGGAGACUGCCGGGGUCAACUCGGAGGAAGGUGGGGACGACGUCAAAUCAUCAUGCCCCUUAUGUCUUGGGCUUCACGCAUGCUACAAUGGCCGGUACAAAGGGUUGCGAUACUGUGAGGUGGAGCUAAUCCCAAAAAGCCGGUCUCAGUUCGGAUUGGGGUCUGCAACUCGACCCCAUGAAGUCGGAGUCGCUAGUAAUCGCAGAUCAGCAACGCUGCGGUGAAUACGUUCCCGGGCCUUGUACACACCGCCCGUCAAGUCACGAAAGUUGGUAACACC
rnacentral:rRNA from 1 species